rnacentral:tRNA from 1 species
UCCGAUAUAGUGUAACGGCUAGCACGGUUCUCUCUCACAGAGCAGUUCCGGGUUCGAUUCCCGGUAUCGGAG